rnacentral:rRNA from 1 species
CCUACGGGUGGCAGCAGUAGGGAAUCUUCCACAAUGGACGAAAGUCUGAUGGAGCAACGCCGCGUGAGUGAAGAAGGAUUUCGGUUCGUAAAACUCUGUUGCGAGGGAAGAACAAGUACGAAGUAACUACUCGUACCUUGACGGUACCUCGUUAGAAAGCCACGGCUAACUACGUGCCAGCAGCCGCGGUAAUACGUAGGUGGCAAGCGUUGUCCGGAAUUAUUGGGCGUAAAGCGCGCGCAGGCGGUCCUUUAAGUCUGAUGUGAAAGCCCACGGCUCAACCGUGGAAGGUCAUUGGAAACUGGAGGACUUGAGUAUAAGAGAGGAAAGUGGAAUUCCACGUGUAGCGGUGAAAUGCGUAGAGAUGUGGAGGAACACCAGUGGCGAAGGCGACUUUCUGGCUUAUUACUGACGCUGAGGCGCGAAAGCGU